rfam:Triticum aestivum genome assembly, contig: Triticum_aestivum_CS42_TGACv1_scaffold_094715_2AL
UGCAUACUCCCUCCGCCCGGAAAAACUUGUCCCAAGCUUUUCCAUCAAAUAGAUGUAUCUAGCACUAACUUGGUGCUAGAUACAUCCAUUUAAGGGACAAAUUUUUUUGGACGGAGGGAGUAUGAU